rnacentral:rRNA from 1 species
GACGAACGCUGGCGGCGUGCUUAACACAUGCCAGUCGAACGGAAAGGCCCUGCUUUUGUGGGGUGCUCGAGUGGCGAACGGGUGAGUAACACGUGAGUAACCUGCCCUUGACUUUGGGAUAACUUCAGGAAACUGGGGCUAAUACCGGAUAGGAGCUCCUGCUGCAUGGUGGGGGUUGGAAAGUUUCGGCGGUUGGGGAUGGACUCGCGGCUUAUCAGCUUGUUGGUGGGGUAGUGGCUUACCAAGGCUUUGACGGGUAGCCGGCCUGAGAGGGUGACCGGCCACAUUGGGACUGAGAUACGGCCCAGACUCCUACGGGAGGCAGCAGUGGGGAAUAUUGCACAAUGGGCGGAAGCCUGAUGCAGCAACGCCGAGUGCGGGAUGACGGCCUUCGGGUUGUAAACCGCUUUCGCCUGUGACGAAGCGUGAGUGACGGUAAUGGGUAAAGAAGCACCGGCUAACUACGUG